UACGUAGGCAGCGAGCGUUGUUCGGAGUUACUGGGCGUAAAGGGUGUGUAGGCGGUUGUUUAAGUUUGGUGUGAAAUCUCCCGGCUCAACUGGGAGGGUGCGCCGAAUACUGAAUGACUAGAGUGCGGGAGAGGGAUGCAGAAUUCCAGGUGUAGCGGUGAAAUGCGUAGAUAUCUGGAGGAAUACCGGUGGCGAAGGCGGCAUCCUGGACCGACAUUGACGCUGAUGAGCGAAAGCUAGGGGAGCAAACGGG
rnacentral:rRNA from 1 species